CCGGCAAAUCAAUACGACCAGCUCCUGCUGAACCCCCCCAGGUCCGGAAGGAAGCAAGGGUAAGUGGUUGAGCGGUGCGAUAUUGGUUUGCCUUUUU
rnacentral:SRP_RNA from 1 species